GCUCGUAGUUGGAUUUCCGGCGUGAGGGAUCAGUCUGACUUCUAGUCAGUACUUGGUCCUCUCAUGCCGUCCUUGAAUGGUGCAUCCUGGCAUUAAGUUGUCGGGGUGAGAGCCGUUCAUCGUUUACUGUGAGAAAAUUAGAGUGUUCAAAGCAGGCUUAUGCCGUUGAAUAUAUUAGCAUGGAAUAAUAAGAUAGGACUUUGGUACUAUUUUGUUGGUUUGAGAACCAAGGUAAUGAUCAAUAGGGACAGUUGGGGGUAUUCGUAUUCAGUUGUCAGAGGUGAAAUUCUUAGAUUUCCGGAAGACGAACUACUGCGAAAGC
rnacentral:rRNA from 1 species